rnacentral:rRNA from 1 species
UACGGGGGGAGCAAGCGUUGUUCGGAUUUACUGGGCGUAAAGGGCGCGUAGGCGGUCAGCACAAGUCAGUUGUGAAAUCUCCGGGCUUAACCCGGAAAGGUCAACUGAUACUGUGCGACUAGAGUGCGGAAGGGGCAACUGGAAUUCUCGGUGUAGCGGUGAAAUGCGUAGAUAUCGAGAGGAACACCGGUGGCGAAGGCGGGACUCUGGGCCGAUACUGACGCUGAGGAGCGAAAGCGUGGGGAGCAAACAGG